UAUUAUCAGACAUGCGUUUAGUGUGUGUGAGGGAGUUCUUAAUUAACCAUGUUUAACGUUGUGAUAUUUGUACUUCUAUGUAUUGUGACUGUUGUCUCAUGCAGAGAGAUUGAGCCAAGUGAUAAUCAGCAAAUUUGCUUGCCGUUUAAGGCUCAUAUCAUCUGAGACCGAAGCAAUGAGGAAGAUACAUUUGAUGUUCAAGUACAUUAUGUUCUACAAAUUAUAAACAAUGCACCUGAAGGAACCAAUAUUCGUUUGGACACGGUAAAUGAAAAGUUAAGAAAUGUAAUGGACACUAUUAAAGUAAACGGCCAAAAGCAAGACUGGAUUCACAGUACAACUAAUGUUACUCAAAGACUAUCCGAAUACAAUAUAAUUUCAUACAAAUCUUUAAAGGAAGCCAUAAUAAGUAACUUUCAGAAAAAUGAGACAGCAGCUGAAGAGAUAUUUUUCAUUGUUAAUUACAAGUCAGAGAUAGAUGACAAAGAAAAAGCAUUUAGGGAGUUAAAGAGGAGAAAGGUGUUUGUCGUAUUUCACGGAACCAAAAGUCCACCAUCUGAAUUCUGGACAAAUCUCGCCACGGAUAAACAUCAUGUACUUGAACCAAACGAAAAUAUUGAUGAGAAUGUAGAUGUAUUUCUAAACCUAGUGUGUCGAGAUUCGACACUUUACUGUAGUACUGACAUGUACUGGAAUGGCACAGGGUGUUUCAGAUGUAGCUUCAUAUGUUCAAAGAUGCCGUGUGAAUAAUGCCAAACUGAGUGCCCUUAUUUUAACCAGUUCAAACCGGAUGUUGAGAUUUCAGAUGAACUGCCUGAUUCGCGUGCUUAUACAUCUAACAACACUACGAUGUUUGUCCUUGUUCUAUUGACCUUCAUACUCCAAUGUAUUCUUGUUUUGAAAGUCUGCAUUAAACCUAAGCAAUUUUUGAAGAAAUUUGAAAAAAAUCAUGAGCCUGAACAAACAAAGUGAUACGACUCUGAAAGAUGUGGCAAAUCAGGAAAAUAAUACCCUGCCUUCCGAUGGUAGAGAAGUUACUUUUUCAAACAGGAAUGGUGUACAAGAUUAUUUAUUAACAGAAGCAAAUGGCAGACGUGGUGAAACCAUGGCAGCACAAAAUGGUGAUGGAUCACGAGAGCGGAGGAAGAAUAACUUGUUUUAGGUGCAGAUGGGAGUAUCCGGCCUCGAAGGCUGUGCCGAGUUACCGUGUAAACAGUUACCCGGGAGCCGGAUAUUCUCUUCUGCAGCUAUAGCUUGUCUGUGUUCAGACUCUGUGUUUUGAUUACAGUAGAUAACUCCUGAGGCUAAUCAAAUUUUGUAUAAGUAUGUCCCUUUUCUUCUCAAAACACUGGGUCUAUGAAUCCUGGAGAUCGACUUUUAAUCAUGUCAAGCUAUUACAGCAGAUAAUGAUCUUGUUAUGUGGACUGAUGAUUCAAGGAUAUUUAAUGCCAUUCACGCAUGUGAUAAAUAGACCCUGUUGUUAAAAACUUUGAUUUGUAGAUUAGCGGUCAGUACUUUACUCUUUAUUGAAAACAUGUUGCACUACAAAGGAUACCUAAUGGAUAACUGCUAUGUAGUGGAUAAAUAAUGUUGCUUGCAUAAAAUUCAAAUACUUUUACAUAUCAUGUUUUUGAAAUCUAAAUGUAAGAAUAUGUAAUAGAAAAAAAAAGUGUUAUACAGAUGCAAGAUUCUACAGAAUAAUGCAAUAGUUCGUUGCUAAAACUAGGAAAUGCUAAGACUGUUUGACAUUAUUUUUCAUAUAUUGUUAACAGGUAUAAUGUUUUGGAGACAAGCUCUGGACAUGUGACUUUUAUAUUGUGGACAUAUAUUUAUAAUUUUGCUCAGCUGACUAAAUAUGACUGUAUAGUUUAUUUGUCACUCUGAUUCUUUUUUGUUGACAAUUUCUUACAUAUUUCUUGACUUAUGAUGCCGCAAGUAAACCCCCUUCUGGAGUAAGACUGUGUUAAAUUGUGGCUGUGAUAUAAACAGUUACUUUCCACGUAUCGAGCUUACUUGCUUUCAUUGCAUAGCGAAAAUGCACUUUAUUUAAUUAACAAAAACAACAGUACAAUAACAGCUGCAAAAAUUGUAAAAAUUAUAUAUAAACAAAUGGUGUUAUUUCAAAACUCAGACUUUUGCUACUUCCUGUUGGUGCACAAUAGGUACCAGAUAUGACCGAAUUACACUUAUCUUUUUAUAUUUUAAGACAUAAAAUAUACAGGAGUCCAUUGUUAAAGUAUUUAUCAUUCCCUAUGUCCUUCUUUAUCCCAAUAUCUGUUUAACAACAUAUUUACUAGAUAUAUGGGCCGUUCCUUAAGAAAACCUGAAAAAGUAACAUGACAUAACUAUUAAAUAAUAAGUUGUUUAAAGCACAGGAAAAGCAGACGGAUUUAAAAGCAUUGUAGUUCUUGAAGUAGUGAAGAUAAUUACUUCAAAUUUUCAUAUUUGAAAGGGAAAAUAAUGUCCUUCAUGACUAUUUUGUCAUCUCAGUUUUGAUUUUUGUCACUAAUACAUGUUUUCUCACGGAAUGGCCCAUACAUAUGAUGAGCAUGUUCUUAUCUCUGGUCUGGCCUGGCCUGGCCCGAUGAGCCCAAUUUUCGACUUGGCUAGGCCACUAUUAGAUAUAACUUACUAAUAUUCAAGGUAACAUACAUGUACUUUUACAUACUUUUUAUAUAUUAAUAUCACCGAUAAGAAGACUUGUUGAUGUCUUUUCAUUUAAGUAUUAUUGUUAUUACAUGACUGGGCAAUUAAAUGCUUUUUCGUUUUAUUAGCCAGACUAGAUUUUAAAAAUGAAACUGAAUCUCAGCUCAGGCAUGUGCUGACCUCCUGUUAACUAAAUGCUGAUUAAGAUCCCUUUCUACAAGAGAACUAUAUUGCAGUGUACCAUACUUGUGAUUAGUCAGCUAAGGGUUUAUCAUGAAAUAUCGGUCACAAGCCCUGAGCAGAUUUUACCAGAUUAGAUGUUCAGAGCCAGGAAAGAUUGGUCUGAAUAUACAAGAGGAAUGAUUUAAAAAAUAAUUAAAAACAUUAUCUAGUCAGUAGCCAGACUACACCUACAGCCAGUGAUAGAUAUUUUACAGUGCAUACCAUAUUCAAGAUAUAAUAAUAAAAUUAAAAUCAAUCGACAGACUUUCCUUUUAGAGCUAUUUCUUAUAGCAGCAUAUUUAAACAAAGCGCGGGAAACAAAAGUCCGUAAACAGGAAAGACGUCAUGACGUUUCAGAGAUAAAUUAUGAUGUUUAGUUAUAAUAAUAAUAAUAAUAAUAAUAAUAACUUUAUUUAAAGAAGGUAACACAUAAAGAUAUAUAACAGUGUUAGAACAUAUUAAACAUCUUAAGUUUCAAUGUGGCCUUCUGUAAAAUUAAUACAACAGUUCAACAUAUUGAUACUGAUUAUCUAAUUACAAUAAAAAGACAGAAUUUAAGUGAUAAACGUUUGAAUUCAACAUCCACACUUGACAAACACUCCAUUUAAUUAGAAAAAAUAUUUUUACUUGUAUAUGAAAAGAAAAAAAAGUCAAAUCACUCAGAUAAACAUUCACCCACUCAAAAGAAAAUAAAAAAUAGCAAUGGCAGAAAAAAAAGUUGCAGCUUAUUCAGGUCCUAAAAGGUAUUUUUUAUAUUUGUUUUUGAAAGAAGAAAGUGAAUUCACACAACGAAUAUUCUGUGGAAUGAUAUUCCAUACUUCAGCACUAUUAUAGCCAAAUGACCUUUUCAUAUAAUUUGUGCGAUAUUUAGGUAUUAAAAUAUCGUUAUGUACAAUUGAUCUAAGGCCAUAAAUUUCAUUGCUGGAAAAUGUUAAAAUAUCAGAUAUGUAAGAUGGUACAAGAUUUUUUGUAGUUUUAUAUAUCAUUACUCCAGUAUGGUAUUUGCAUCGUUCAUAAACUUUCAUUCAUCCGUGUUCUUUUAACAUUUCAGAUUUACUUGUCUGCAGUUCUUUAUUCAAAACAAUUCUAGCAACUCUUCCUUGUAGUGCAAAAAUCUUAUUUAAUGAACCUUUACUUCCUGUAUACCAAACUGUACAGCAGUAACCUAAAACAGACACAAAUAUGCGUUGUAGAAAAGUCUUUUCAUAUCCUCUAUAAAAAAAUAAACAAUCCUGUUCAAUAGUGCAAUUUUUGAGUUAACUUUAACAUACUUUACCUAUUUGUAUAUCCCACGAGAGUGUAUUGUCAAUAUAAAUUCCUUAACCUUUUUGAAGUUUUACAUUUUCUUUGAUAGAUCCACCAAUAGUUAAAUUCAAAUUGCUGCAAUUGCUUGCUUUUGUUUUGUACAUAUUAGCAUACAUUUUGUUUUUGAUGGGUGUAACAGCAUGUUGUUUGAAAAACACCAUCUUCAAUUUUAUUUAAGUUUUCUUUGAGUUUAUUUUCCACAAUUUUCAUACCAUAAUCAGAUUCAUAUAUUGUCGAGCCGUCAGCGUAUAGAUCAAUAUUACCUUGUUCUGUUGAUAAUGCUAUGUUAUUGAUAUAAAGUAAAAAUAACAGGGGACCGAAAAUUGACCCUUGUGGAACGCCUUAAGUAAUGGUCAUUUGUUCGGAUCUAGAUAAAUACGACUGGAAUAAUUUAAUUGUAUUAUCUGUAAAUUUAUACAAUCUUAAUUAACGCAGUAAAAUAGUGUGAUCAACAAGAUCAAAUGCUUUCCUUGAGUCAAGAAAUACAGCACCUACAUAUUUUCCAGAAUCUACGUCUUUUAACAAGGCAUCUAUUAAUCGCGUAAGAGCUGUAUGGCAUGAAUGUUUGGGUCUAAAUCCUGACUGAGUUUCGUGUAUGAUAUUUGAUUCUUUUUUUUUGAAAAAAAAAAAAAAAAAAUAAAGAUUGUAUUUGAAUCGCUAUAUGUCUUUCAAAUAUUUUAGAUACUGUCGGUAAAAUUGAGAUAGGGCGAUAGUUGUUUGGAUCUUCUUUGUUUCCUUGUCUAAAUACUGGAACAACAAAUGCCUCUUUUAAAUAAUCUGGGAACGUACAUGUGUCGAUACUCUUGUUUCUUGCAUACCAGACUGGGAUUUCUGGUGAUUUAACCGGUGCUCGAAAACUCUAUCUUACACCCCGGGGUGUAAGAUGUCUCUCGUGCUGUAAAUAUCGUAUAACGAACUAUAUAUGUACAGAAGAUUUGUGUAGUAAUAAUAAUGUUUUACGUAAAAUGGGAUAAAAAUAAAAUAUCUUGAUAGUUUCUCUUUGUUCCUUAUAAAAUAUUUCUCGAUUCAAAAAACGAAAUCACAUAACGUUACAAUUCAGAUGAUAAAACAAAACCAGAACUAUUACGAUGUUUUCGACUUUUUAACACCAUGACGUACUUCCUGUUUACGGACGUAAAGUUCCCGCGCUUUGUUAGUACGCUACUAUAAGAAAAAAGUGCUAUAAGAAAAUCAUUUAUAAUAUUUUUACUAUUAUUUUUUUAAUAUGGCAUGCA